rfam:Erinaceus europaeus unplaced genomic scaffold scaffold00740, whole genome shotgun sequence
CCAAAGGCUCUUUUCAGAGCCAACUAUUCGCUCUGUAAAAGUUUCU